rnacentral:rRNA from 1 species
UAGGGAAUCUUCCACAAUGGACGCAAGUCUGAUGGAGCAACGCCGCGUGAGUGAAGAAGGUUUUCGGAUCGUAAAGCUCUGUUGUUGGUGAAGAAGGAUAGAGGCAGUAACUGGUCUUUAUUUGACGGUAAUCAACCAGAAAGUCACGGCUAACUACGUGCCAGCAGCCGCGGUAAUACGUAGGUGGCAAGCGUUGUCCGGAUUUAUUGGGCGUAAAGCGAGCGCAGGCGGAAUGAUAAGUCUGAUGUGAAAGCCCACGGCUCAACCGUGGAACCGCAUCGGAAACUGUCAUUCUUGAGUGCAGAAGAGGAGAGUGGAACUCCAUGUGUAGCGGUGGAAUGCGUAGAUAUAUGGAAGAACACCAGUGGCGAAGGCGGCUCUCUGGUCUGCAACUGACGCUGAGGCUCGGAAGCAUGGGUAGCGAACAGGAUUAGAUACCCUUGGUAGU